GCCGGAUUGGCGCAGUGGUAGCGUUCUUGGUUUGGGCAAUUACCAAUUUCUCCUUCCAAGAGGUCCUGAGUUCGAACCUCAGAUCCGGCC